AACUAUUUGGCUGAACGCUUAAGCAUGUAUCUUGAAAAUAUUUAAUAUGAGUUAAACUCUCGUAAUAGUUU
rnacentral:tRNA from 1 species